rnacentral:rRNA from 1 species
AACGUAGGAGACAAACGUUAUCCGGAGUUACUGGGCGUAAAGGGCGCGCAGGCGGCCCUUGAAGUCAGGCGUGAAAGCCCCGGGCUCAACCUGGGAGGUGCGCUUGAUACUCGAGGGCUUGAGUGCGGGAGAGGAGAGUGGAAUUCCUGGUGUAGCGGUGAAAUGCGUAGAUAUCAGGAGGAACACCUGUGGCGAAAGCGGCUCACUGGACCAUAACUGACGCUGAUGCACGAAAGCUAGGGGAGCAAACAGG